rnacentral:tRNA from 1 species
CUCUCCAUAGGCUAAUCGGAUAAACCGUAGUGCUACGAACGCUAAAUUGUGGGUUCGAGUCCCGCUGGAGAGAC